rnacentral:rRNA from 1 species
GACGAACGCUGGCGGCGUGCUUAACACAUGCGAGUCGAACGGAAAGGCCCUGCUUGCAGGGUGCUCGAGUGGCGAACGGGUGAGUAACACGUGGGUGAUCUGCCCCUUACUUUGGGAUAAGCCUGGGAAACUGGGUCUAAUACUGGAUAGGACCAUGCUGUAGGUGGUGUGGUGGAAAGAUUUUUUCGGUAAGGGAUGAGCUCGCGGCCUAUCAGCUUGUUGGUGGGGUAAUGGCCUACCAAGGCGUCGACGGGUAGCCGGCCUGAGAGGGUGGACGGCCACAUUGGGACUGAGAUACGGCCCAGACUCCUACGGGAGGCAGCAGUGGGGAAUAUUGCACAAUGGGCGCAAGCCUGAUGCAGCGACGCCGCGUGGGGGAUGACGGCCUUCGGGUUGUAAACGCCUUUCAGCCAUGACGAAGCCUCUUUUGGGGUGACGGUAGUGGUAGAAGAAGCACCGGCUAACUACGUG